rnacentral:tmRNA from 1 species
GGGGGCGACCUGGUUUCGACGGGGGUUGCGAAGCGGAUGAGGGCAUACCGGGAUUUCAGUCACCCCGUAAAACGCUGAAUUUAUAUAGUCGCAAACGACGAAACUUACGCUCUGGCCGCUUAAUCGCCGCCAGACUCUGCAGCGGUUCGCUGAUGGGCCGUGGAGGCAACUCCCGCAGAGUCACUUUACAUCAGCUCGCCUGAAGUCGGGUUACUUGACUCUAGGUUAAAUCCAAGGUGACUCGCUAUUAUCCAGCCUGCCCGUCGGCGUGAUACUGGUUAAAUCCAAAUGACACGGCUAAGUAUGUAGAACUCACCGUAGAGGACUUUCGGACGCGGGUUCGAUUCCCGCCGCCUCCACCA